CAACAUUCGUUGCUCUGUUAGGGUUAGGGUUUUGUCGUCGUUUCAACCCUUGGCUUUUGUUGGUUUUGGGGGUUUAGUAUUAGGGUUGCUCGAGUUCUCCGAGGCCUUUGAGGUCCUCUAUCUCUUCUCGUCCUAUGUCGCCUUCUUUGCUUUCAAUCGGUAGGACCUCGCUGGCCUGAACGAUUGCGUCAUUGAAGAUCCACCGCGCCUUUAGCCAUCAAAAAUCUCCUCGCUAUCUCACUGGCAUCUGAAAUGGGAGCUCUUAUUUUUUCGGAGGACACACAGCCGAGGGCUAGCUUGAUGAAUGUCUGUAACUUUCUUUUCCACGGGGAUUGAAUCCUGUAAUUCUGUAUAGCUCCGAUUGACAGUAGAAAUUGUUCGUGACAGUUUAUGUUGGAUUAUUUAUCUUGAACACUAAGUAUAUAUUGAUGCAUGCUAUGGAAUUUUCCCUUGAGAAAUCCUUUCAA